rnacentral:rRNA from 2 species
UGCCAGUGAUAAACUGGAGGAAGGUGGGGAUGACGUCAAGUCAUCAUGGCCCUUACGACCAGGGCUACACACGUGCUACAAUGGCAUAUACAAAGAGAAGCGACCUCGCGAGAGCAAGCGGACCUCAUAAAGUAUGUCGUAGUCCGGAUUGGAGUCUGCAACUCGACUCCAUGAAGUCGGAAUCGCUAGUAAUCGUGGAUCAGAAUGCCACGGUGAAUACGUUCCCGGGCCUUGUACACACCGCCCGUCACACCAUGGGAGUGGGUUGCAAAAGAAGUAGGUAGCUUAACCUUCGGGAGGGCGCUUACCACUUUGUGAUUCAUGACUGGGGUGAAGUCGUAACAAGGUAACCGUAGGGGAACCUGCGGUUGGAUCACCUCCUU